rnacentral:lncRNA from 10 species
CCCGAGUGGGGCCCCCACUCUUCCCUUUGCCCCGGAUGAGUGUUCUCUGACACCAGGUUCCCCGCCCCACCCUCUAAACAAACAGAAGCAUCACCCUCCCCACCCUUCUCAAACCCAGAAGGAUCUGGUGCCCAGGUCACCUCAGCUGGAGAAAUCCAGAAUCCGCCUACGGAGAACACUGAGGAACCUUGGUGGAGGCAGGGGUCAGAGGGGACAGUGACAUUUGAGGGCCUUGGGGGAAAGUUAGCCUAUGCUGAGCUGAGGCUCUGGCUAGGGGCCCAGUAUUGGCUUUGCUAUUUCCUGGCUGUGAGAGCUUGAGUGAGUCUUCCAACCUCUUUGAACUUCAGGUUUUCAUCUGUAAAAUGGGGCUGAUCACAGAAUUUGCUUCAUAGGG